GUGAAUUCCUUGGAAGAUGAGGGCCAAGUCUUAUUCUUCUCAGUCUCUUCUGCAUCUAGCAGAAGAAUAAUGGUUGCACAGAAAAUCUUGGUUCAGUGGUUGAGUGAAUGAAUGGAUGAACAGGCUCUUGCACACAAAGAAGAGACAUGAUGUAUUUGCAUCCUUCCCUGCUUCAGCCAGUUUUCUGAAGCUCAGAGGGACACCUUGUAUUGCUGGAUGAUAAAAACAGGAGCAAAGUGAUGAAGUGCUGACAAGGCAACAAUAGAACAUGAGAGAUUCACUGCUGUGUAGGAAGAGAUCUUCGGUGACCAUGUAGCCUGAAGCUCUCAUUUUGUCAUCGAGGGACACCAAAACUCAGAACAGGUGAAGAACUAAUGUUGACGGAAGUUAAGCAACCUUUCCCAAAGUCUCAUAGUGAUGAGGUCUCCAAGGGACCAGAUGGAGAACAGAUGCAACCACACUGAAGUCAGAAUCGCAGCUUGCCUCCGACACCUGACGCUUCACUGUUGGCGAGGCCCACUAUGCCUCGCUCUCCCCCUGUAAUGAGUUCUAUCCCAGAGGCUCCUAUACCCUUUAGAAAUAAACUGCUCAGGCAGCCCAACCAGUUCAUCCAAGAGGCCUGGAACCACAGCAGCGUCGACAGCUGAGAUGAGAGUUGGUCCCUGAUCUGAUACAGAGCCUGGGUUUAGCUUUGAUUUCUCUCUUCCUAGGCAAGAUCUUUAGAGAAUAACUUUUUGUGCCUGGCCAUCUCCUGCUCUUUUCUCAACCCAAAAGGGCUAUGUUCACCUAAAGAGGAAAAGCAAGAAGGCUUCCUGGGCUCGGGAGGUCAGGGCUGGAAAGAACUGCUCACCAUUUCUGAGCCGAUGAGGACUCACCUGGGCUCCUCACUGGUCAGGGAACUGUGGCCCAGCCGCAGAGUGAUUGCUUUGUCAAGAAGGGAAACAUUUACCUUUCCUUCUUCCCUCUGCUCUCUCCUAAUUAACAAUUAAAUGGAAGGAGUUGAAAAGACAUGUCAGAGACUUCAAUCUCCUCCCGGCCUGAGGAUGAAGGGGGCUCGAACCUGAAUGUUCUCUUCGCUGUGGCCAGAACCUAGGGGGCUGGGGUUGCUGCCAGCUCGACUGGAGGCCUGCUUCCAGCCCCAGGCUGUGGUGAGGGGCCUCACAGAUUUCACAAACAGGAGGGCGGCUGACCAAGCGCCAAACUAUUUAGACAAACACACACCCUCCCUUCCCGCCAGAGUUUGGGCUGAUUUCUCCCAAUGCUAAUGAACAGCUCAUAAGUAUUAAUAGACUCCUUGGCACCUAGGAGUCAGGCAGAGUAACUUCCAGUGUGAAUUUUGGCCAAGGACCCUGAUGCAGCCUCAGGAUCUUCCAAGCCCCUGUUGAGUCCAGGGGGCAUGAGACACACAGGGAGGCUGGGGCUGCUCCCAGGAAGCAGGCUCACAAGAGCCAGACAGGCUCCCACAGACAGCUUUUAGGUCACAGAAACCUCUGCCUGCCAGGUAGGCAUGAACACAGAAACCCUCCCAAAUCCUCAGACUGUGGAGCACACUCCAGGUGAGCCAGGAUCAAUCCCUGGUCUCAGAGAACACUUAGAUGGGGGUGAAAAGCAGGAACUGAGAGCUUCCCACCCAGCACCUGUCCCUGCUACCAGCUAAACCUGUGUCGGUCAGUGCAGGAAUUGUACAGGUGAUGCUCUGAGCCUGUGCUGAGGCCAUGUAUGGACUGAGGAAACCUCACUGUGUGUAUGUAAAGUUAAUUCAAACCUAUUUCCCUGAGUGCUUACAUAUUUUCAUAAGGAAAGUUCUGUUAGGAGAGCUGCCUGAAACAACACCUCUGCCUGUGCUCCCACUUUCUCCCGCUGGUGUGGGGAGGAGAGGCUGACAUCGCUGGGUCCACGUUCCUCUGCCCUGGGUGGGGUAUUAAUGCUGCCAUUCCCACGCUGCCUGCUGUUUCCCCUCAUCCUCAGGAGGGCUGGUCUCUGUGCUGCAGGCAGCUCCACCAGGCCUGGGAGCAUGACACCGUCUGCCAAUGCCUUGCCCAGGUCCACUGGCCUCACCCUUCCGCAGGCCUGCGCCUUCUGUGACUCUCUGCCUCAGCAAUUUCUCUGGAUUUCUUUGUCCUCAGGAAUGUGCUGGGGCCACAGGCAGGUCAGGCCAGGCUUUCUGGGGAGUGAAUGCUCUCUGCCAGUGGCGGAUGGAACUGGUAGACACGUCCCCCGGAUUCCUCGCCUGCAAGUGGGAUGGUGCCAGGAAAGUUCUACACCAUCCUUCCCAGGUCCCAGGAGGACAAGCACAGUUGUCCACAAGGGAACCAAGAGGAUGUUGAAAAAUCCUGGUUGGAUCUGAACUUGGAAACAAAUUUGAGGAAUCUAUUUUACUUAAUCCUACUGAAAAAUUCCCUAAUGAGUUAAAGAAGAACAAAGUAAAAGAAGAUAAAAAAGCAGUUGGUACUUGAAAUGAAGAUCAAAUCAUCAAGUCCUAUAUGUCACCCACAGAUCUGAGAUCACUGACUCCCAGAGACACCCAGUUUCUCAGUGUCAGUACACACUGCCUGGGUUAGUAAGCACAGGCUGAGACCUGGGAGGAAUUGAUGAACCAAAUGUGUCUGGGCUUUUCACUUCCUCGGCAUGAGUCAGCCAAGAAAGCCCACCUCUCCUCCCCAGCAGCGUGCAGGGCCUCUGCAGAUAAAUGUGCAGGAUAGCAGACCUGGGUGUGGUGCUGCCUGGCACUGAGCCAGCCCCCAGAUUCUUUGGCUGCAGAGUGGCCUGGCCAACUCACACAGGUAGCGCCCUUUUAUUCUUGGAAAAGGAAGCACCAGGUGGAAAGGGAGGUUAAAGGAGGGAACACAACUUUUUUCCAGACCCCUCUGCCCAGGAUGUUAAAGGUUGCUGGAAAAUGCCUUUGGUGGCUUUAAAUGUCACAGAUGACAUAUUCCAGGAUGGAUCCAGCCUCCACUGGACUUGGCCCCUCUAUUUUGAUUCCUGCCUUUCCCCAGCCUCAGCCCUGAGCGGCAUAAUAUCUACACGGGGUUAGCUGCAGGUGGAACUCAGAACACAGCUCCUAGACAAGUAGAGUGAGGCCUAUGGCUUCAUCAUCAAAAUGUAAAAUUUAAAUAUAUAAAUGAAUAAAGGCUAGAUAGACACAUAAAUAUACAUACACACAUACAUUUUGUCUGGUGCCAGGACCAAGGCCUUAUUACAGCUCAGAGCUCCACUUUGAGCACUUGAGGGCAGGAGGGGCUCCGAGCUUCUCUCCCCUCAAUGCUGCCGCAGGGUUCCUAAGCAAGGACCCACAUGUGGAGGCUCCUGAUCCCUGAACUGAAAGUCGACUCUCCAGUGCAACAGGUAAACUUGUUUGAGAACGUGGGACAUAACGACGUCUAAACUAUUGCUUCUUGGCAGCAUUGGAUGAUUAGGUCCUCGCUAAGGCUUGCCAAGGCCUGUCCUAGGAAAUGUUCCUGGGCUUGAUUUCAUCCUCACUGUUGAGAGAGUUUAUUCCUUAUAAGGUCCAUCUCAAUUCUCAGGGCACCGCAAGACAACGUAUCUCCCCUCUCCUGUGCAAUCAGUCAAAGAACAUUUAGUCAACCUGAACUGGGAGCACAGCGCUCCUGGGGCUGUUGGGCAUUCAAAAGAGUGUGGAUCAGUGUUAAAAGUGCUUCAUGGAGAAAUGGAGGCCUGAAAGCGACUCUGAAGGAGGAGUGGGGCUCAGCAAACAGCAGACGAGUUUCAAUCCAAGCACCCAUUACCCCCCUAACACACGGCAUACGUGCAUCUCAUCUCCUCCUGUGUCGCUAAGAAGCUACCCAUAUGUCUGUCAUUAAUUCUCCAGAAUCCUUGGACACACCCCUCUGCAGAGCUUUCUAACAGGAAAUACAAGUCUCAGAUUUUUUUUUAAGUUAAAAUUGAGUGCAGCACUCAUACCUUUCUUCGAGCAUGAACCGUCAAUCAACACUGCCUCAUGAGCUACUGCUCUCCUGCUCUUUGAAAAGACAAAUCCUUAUUUCUUUGUAGUGAUCCAGAAGGCAGUGGGAAGAAUGACAGGUGCUUGGUUAUCUUCAAUUUAAUCUCUACCUUUCAAUGGGGCUAGUGCAAGCUAGGGCCAUUUUACUGCACCCAAAGGAAUUUAAGACAUUUCUAUUAUCUCUAAAGAAUCCAGAUUAACAUGCCUUCUUGGUGGGCAGGGAGACCAGCUAUGAAUUCUAGGAUCUCAAUUCAAAUGCUUUUGAAUUCUUCCUGCUUGUUCAGUUAAUUACAUAUAUGUCACCACAAUCUUGCUUUUUUUUUUCUAUGCUUCUAAUUUUCUCUGAAACUAUAACAUUAUUUUAGGGGUUAAUAAAUUUGUAAUUGGAAAAAAUGUUUUUACUUCUUUAGGCUCAUCUUUCCUCCCUUCCUUCUUCCCCUCCCCAACAAAACCUUUAUUUUCUCAAGUGUCCAUUCUUUCUGUAGG
rnacentral:lncRNA from 10 species